UGGGAUGGCGAUGGGCGAGCCUGACGCAGCGACGCCGCGUGAGGGAUGAAGGCCUUCGGGUCGUAAACCUCUUUCAGCAGGGAAGAAGCGAAAGUGACGGUACCUGCAGAAGAAGCACCGGCUAACUACGUGCCAGCAGCCGCGGUAAUACGUAGGGUGCAAGCGUUGUCCGGAAUUAUUGGGCGUAAAGAGCUCGUAGGCGGUCUGUCGCGUCUGCUGUGAAAACUCAGGGCUUAACCCUGAGCUUGCAGUGGGUACGGGCAGACUAGAGUGCGGUAGGGGAGACUGGAAUUCCUGGUGUAGCGGUGAAAUGCGCAGAUAUCAGGAGGAACACCGGUGGCGAAGGCGGGUCUCUGGGCCGUAACUGACGCUGAGGAGCGAAAGCAUGGGGAGCGAACAGGAUUAGAUACCCUGGUAGUCCAUGCCGUAAACGUUGGGCGCUAGGUGUGGGGCUCUUUCCACGAGUUCCGUGCCGCAGCUAACGCAUUAAGCGCCCCGCCUGGGGAGUACGGCCGCAAGGCUAAAACUCAAAGGAAUUGACGGGGGCCCGCACAAGCGGCGGAGCAUGCGGAUUAAUUCGAUGCAACGCGAAGAACCUUACCAAGGCUUGACAUGGGGUGAAAACUCGCAGAGAUGCGGGGUCCGCAAGGGCGCCUCACAGGUGGUGCAUGGUUGUCGUCAGCUCGUGUCGUGAGAUGUUGGGUUAAGUCCCGCAACGAGCGCAACCCUCGUUCUAUGUUGCCAGCACGUAAUGGUGGGGACUCAUAGGAGACUGCCGGGGUCAACUCGGAGGAAGGUGGGGACGACGUCAAAUCAUCAUGCCCCUUAUGUCUUGGGGCUUCACGCAUGCUACAAUGGCCAGUACAAAGGGCUGCGAGACCGUAAGGUGGAGCGAAUCCCAAAAAGCUGGUCUCAGUUCGGAUUGGGGUCUGCAACUCGACCCCAUGAAGUCGGAGUCGCUAGUAAUCGCAGAUCAGCAACGCUGCGGUGAAUACGUUCCCGGGCCUUGUACACUCCGCCCAAGGGCGAAUUUCCACAGUGA
rnacentral:rRNA from 1 species